GUCCUGAGAGGGAAAAGAUUGUGUCCUGUCCUCUAGAGGUCCCAAGCACCAGGUCAAAGGUACUAGGUGAUGGGUGUUGAAUGCUCAAGUGAAUGAAAGAAAAGAUGUCACUGGGAUUGGGUCAAAGCAAAGGACUCCACAGUAGGGGAUGCAGCCUGUCAGACCUGGAAGUCACCACGCCACUGCUUCACUGUAGGCUGGUCCUCUACCUUCAUAUCCAAGCAGGGUCCAGUUGUAUCCCCACCUGGAAACCUGCUCCUACAGAUUUUGGUGGCUCCAACAGGGAAAGAUGUGUCAUGGAGUUGGUGCUUGGGACCCUGGUGCCCGGUCUCCUCGUGGCAGGUGUCGACAGAUUUUUGCCCAGUGACUAAAUCAAGUGUCACCUGCUCCAGGGCUGCUGCUGUGGCCAGAACUCUCAAAACACCCCAGCUGCCACGCACAGACUACAGGAUAUAAUUGGCGAGACAUUUCCGGUGGACACUGCUCAGAGGCCCAGUUGGGACGGGUUUCUAUUAGGCACGGGUCAGGUCUUGUCCGUCACCCUGUAAAUAACAGCUGGCCCAUUUGCCGCAAUCCAUUUUAGAUCUUUCAAAGGUGCUUAACCCUUGUGAACUCCCUUGCCUCUCAAAGCUACUGGCUGAGGCUGACAGAGCCCCCAUUUUACAAAUAUGAGAGCCAGCUGCCAGGAACAAGGGUCACAUAGUGCUGAUGAGAGCUAGGCUUAGCCAUGUCUCACAGUGUGGACCUGAAGCCUUUACUAAGGUCCCAUCCAUGUGAACACCCUGUUCUGUGGUCAGCAGGCUCUGCACAUAGCCUGUCUUUACUACAACCAACUGGCAGCUAAGAGGAUCUCCUGCCUAAAUGGAAUGUUCUGGAAGGCCAGUCCCCAGAGCCAAGGUAUUGUCAGAGGCACAGAAAGAAAGGCAGG